AUUGAACGCUGGCGGCAUGCUUUACACAUGCAAGUCGAACGGCAGCGCGGGCUUCGGCCUGGCGGCGAGUGGCGAACGGGUGAGUAAUGCAUCGGAACGUGCCCAGUAGUGGGGGAUAGCCCGGCGAAAGCCGGAUUAAUACCGCAUACGACCUGAGGGUGAAAGCGGGGGACCGAAAGGCCUCGCGCUAUUGGAGCGGCCGAUGUCGGAUUAGCUAGUUGGUGGGGUAAAGGCUUACCAAGGCGACGAUCCGUAGCUGGUCUGAGAGGACGACCAGCCACACUGGAACUGAGACACGGCCCAGACUCCUACGGGAGGCAGCAGUGGGGAAUUUUGGACAAUGGGGGCAACCCUGAUCCAGCCAUGCCGCGUGCGGGAAGAAGGCCUUCGGGUUGUAAACCGCUUUUGUUCGGGAAGAAAUCCUCUGGGCUAAUACCCCGGGGGGAUGACGGUACCGAAAGAAUAAGCACCGGCUAACUACGUG
rnacentral:rRNA from 1 species